GGAUUCCCCUAGUAACGGCGAGCGAAGCGGGAAAAGCUCAAAUUUGUAAUCUGGCGCCUUCGGCGUCCGAGUUGUAAUCUCGAGAAGUAUUUUCCGCGCUGGACCGCACAUAAGUCUGUUGGAAUACAGCGUCAUAGUGGUGAGAACCCCGUAUAUGGUGCGGAUGCCCAGUGCUUUGUGAUAUACUUUCGAAGAGUCGAGUUGUUUGGGAAUGCAGCUCAAAUUGGGUGGUAAAUUCCAUCUAAAGCUAAAUAUUGGCGAGAGACCGAUAGCGAACAAGUACCGUGAGGGAAAGAUGAAAAGCACUUUGGAAAGAGAGUUAACAGUACGUGAAAUUGUUGGAAGGGAAACGCUUGAAGUCAGACUUGCAUUUUGGAGUUCAGCCGCAAGGUGUAUUCUUCAAUUCGCAGGCCAGCAUCAGUUUUCGGGGGUGGAAAAUCGCGGUUUGAAGGUAGCAGUUUCGGCUGUGUUAUAGCUUUCCGCUGGAUUCACUUUUGGGGACUGAGGAACGCAGUACGCUUUUUGCAAGAUUCUAGAGUCUUUCGUACUUAGGAUGCUGGUGGAAUGGCUUUAAACGACCCGUCUUGAAACACGGACCA
rnacentral:rRNA from 1 species